rnacentral:lncRNA from 1 species
AAAAAUAAAAAACAAUGGUGAAGCAAAUAGAGCUCUUUGUUGUGAAAUGCUGAACUUUUACUCGGUUAUUCUUUUGUACUUCUAUGCUCUGCUCCCUUGAUAAUUUUCACUUAAUGAUGAUGUAAGAUAACCUAUUGUCCUAUCUAUACAGGUUAGGGGUCGAAUCUGCCCCUGCCAUCGUAUUUCUAAAAGAAACAGGUGUCAAACCUGUUGUUCAUCAUGGCAAGUUCAUUUUUCUCCUCAUUUCUUAUUGUAUAUUCUCUAAUAACUUCUGGUGGCUGUGAUAAGUUACGUGUCUAAGAUGUUUAUGAUUGUAGGCUAUGUCAACAGUUCAUUGUUUGUGGAUAUUAUGGAGAAGAAUAAAAAUCAAGGUACUUAUCUUUUCUCCCUUUUACCAUUGUAUUUGGCUAUUUCGUCAGUUUCAUAGUUAGUGUACUGCAUAAGUGAAUUGAACACGUAUUUUUUCAUAAACUGCUUUAUCUGAUAUUAUUUGUGCUGUGGC